GAUGAACGCUGGCGGCGUGCUUAAUACAUGCAAGUCGAGCGAACAGAUAAGGAGCUUGCUCCUUGGACGUUAGCGGCGGACGUGUGUGACACACGAGGAUACCCUACUUAAAAUACUGGGAAAACUUCGGAAAACCGGCGCAAAUCCCGGAUAAUAUUCCGAUCCGCAUGGUUGGAUGGAAAAAGUUGGUUUUGCUGUAUCUUAUAGAUGGACCUGCGCCGUAUGAGCUGGUUGUGGGGGUAACGGCUUAUCAAGGCGACGAUACGUAGCCGACCGGAGAGGGGGAUCGGCGACACGGGAGCUGGGCCGGGGACCAGGCUACUAAGAGAGGCAGCAGUAGGGAACCUGCCGCAAUGGGCGAAAGUCUGACGGAGCAACGCCGCGCGAGUGAUGGAGAUCUUCCGUUCGUAAAACUCGGUUAUUAGUUAAGAACAGAUGUGUAAGUAAAUGUGCACUGCUUGACGGUACCGAAUCAGAAAGCCACGGCUAACUACGUG
rnacentral:rRNA from 1 species